UACGGAGGGUGCAAACGUUGUCCGGAAUCACUGGGCGUAAAGAGCAUGUAGGUGGUUUGGUAAGUGGGUGAUUAAAGACCGAUGCUUAACAUCGGGACUGUUGCCUAUACUGCCUGACUUGAAGAUGACAGGGUAAGCGGAACUUUAGGUGUAGGAGUGAAAUCCGUAGAUAUCUAAAGGAACACCAAUGGCGAAGGCAGCUUACUGGGUUUUUCUUGACACUGAGAUGCGAAAGCGUGGGGAGCGAACGGG
rnacentral:rRNA from 1 species